rnacentral:ncRNA from 1 species
CUUAGAUGUCCGGGGCUGCACGCGCGCUACACUGACUGGCUCAGCGUGUGCCUACCCUACGCCGGCAGGCGCGGGUAACCCGUUGAACCCCAUUCGUGAUGGGGAUCGGGGAUUGCAAUUAUUCCCCAUGAACGAGGAAUUCCCAGUAAGUGCGGGUCAUAAGCUUGCGUUGAUUAAGUCCCUGCCCUUUGUACACACCGCCCGUCGCUACUACCGAUUGGAUGGGUUAGUGAGGCCC